AGUCGAACGGCAGCACGGACUUCGGUCUGGUGGCGAGUGGCGAACGGGUGAGUAAUGUAUCGGAACGUGCCUAUAGCGGGGAUAACUACGCGAAAGCGUAGCUAAUACCGCACGCCCUUCGGGGGAAAGCGGGGACCUUCGCCUCGCACUAUUAGAGCGGCCGAUAUCGGAUUAGCUAGUUGGUGGGGUAACGGCUCACCAGCACGAUCCGUAGCUGGUUUGAGAGAGGACGACCAGCCACACUGGGACUGGUACACGGCCCACUCCUACGGGAGGCAGCAGUGGGGAAUUUGGACAAUGGGGGAAACCCUGAUCCAGCCAUCCCGCGUGUGCGAUGAAGGCCUCGGGUUGUAAAGCACUUUUGGCAGGAAAGAAACGGCACGGGAUAAUACCCCGUGCAACUGACGGUACCUGCAGAAUAAGCACUGACCACGCCAGCAGCCGCGGUAAUACGUAGGGUGCAAGCGUUAAUCGGAAUUACUGGGCGUAAAGCGUGCGCAGGCGGUUCGGAAAGAAAGAUGUGAAAUCCCAGAGCUUAACUUUGGAACUGUGAUUUUUAACUACUGAGCUAGAGUGUGUCAGAGGGAGGUGGAAUUCCGCGUAGCAGUGAAAUGCGUAGAUAUGCGGAGGAACACCGAUGGCGAAGGCAGCCUCCUGGGAUAACACUGACGCUCAUGCACGAAAGCGUGGGAGCAAACAGGAUUAGAUAUCCCCAAGAGUCCAUCGCCUUAACGAUGUUGACCCAGCUGUUAGGCCUUCGGGCCGGAUGGCCAGCGCUGACGCAAAUGACUGUCAGAGUAUCGGGCCUUAGGUGAUUAAACUCAGUGAACGACGGACCCGUUAUGUAGUGAUGAUGGAUUAAUUCGAUGCAACGCGAAAAAACCUUACCUACCCUUGACAUGUCUGAAUCCUGAACAGAUUUUGGGAGUGCUCGCAAGAGAACCGGGAACACAGGUGCUGCAUGGCUGUCGUCAGCUCGUGUCGAGAUGUUGGGUUAAGUCCUGCAAACGAGCGCAACCCUUGUCAUUAGUUGCUACGAAAGGGCACUCUAAUGAGACUGCCGGUGACAAACCGGAGGAAGCGUGGGGAUGACGUCAAGUCCUCAUGGCCCUUAUGGGUAGGACUCCACACGUCAUACAAUGGUCGGGACAGAGGGUCGCCAACCCGCGAGGGGGGAGCCAAUCCCAGAAACCCCGAUCGUAGUCCGGAUCGCAGUCUGCAACUCGACUGCGUGAAGUCGGACCGCUAGGUAAUCGCGGAUCAGCAUGUCGCGGUGAAUACGUUCCCGGGUCUUGUACACACCGCCCGUCACACCAUGGGAGUGGGUUUUACCAGAAGUAGUUAGCCUAACCGUAAGGAGGGCGAUUACCACGGUAGGAUUCAUGACUGUGCGAAGUCGUAACAAGGUAG
rnacentral:rRNA from 1 species